rnacentral:rRNA from 1 species
GCCACAGACAUAUCACCAUGCAGCCCAUUACCAGUUGCUCACUGAAGCUAAGCAGGGCUGAGCCUGGUUAGUACCUGGAUGGAAGACCACAUGGGAAAACUAGUGAGGCC